rnacentral:lncRNA from 1 species
UUUUUCAAUUCUUUGUCGCUUUCCCGAGGCCAAUGUCUAUUCCUCUUUUUUUCCCAGGUGGUGAGUGCAUCACAGGCCGGUGACAUACAGUUCCUUGACCUUAGAACAUCAAGGGACACAUACCUGACGAUUGAUGCUCACAGGGGUUCACUCACAGCCUUAGCUGUUCACAGACACGCUCCAAUAAUCGCGAGCGGAUCUGCAAAACAGCUAAUUAAAGUGUUUAGCCUUGAAGGAGAACAACUAGGAAGAAUCCUCUACUACCCUUCCUUCAUGGGUCAGAAGAUUGGUUCAGUGAGUUGCCUCGCUUUUCAUCCCUACCAGGUUCUUCUUGCAGCUGGAACUGUGGACUCGCUCGUCUCCGUAUACACCCACGACAACUCGCAAGCACGAUGAGUCGCACACACCAUAAGUGGAAAAAAAACGUUUCUCUUGUGAUUAAAACAUGAGCAAAAAAAAACAAGUCUAGGCCGUGUUGGGGUAAAGUGGGUGUGGUUUAUAUUUAUUCGUUAAGCCUCCGUGGAAGUGUUAGAAAGAAGAUCGCAAGUUAACAGCUAAUGAAGGAGGAGGCUUCACCAAAUAAGUUACUAUGCAAUGCACAUAAAUUGUGUCUGUAAAUAGUUUCUCUGCUUUGCUGUUCUUUAUAAUUAUGUUUCCUUGUGUGAUUUUCUUUUAUUUUUCAUUAUUGGUUUCAUGUGUAAAAAAAUGGUUAAAGUAAUGGUGAAAACAAGUUUGCAUUUUCAUGAUAUUUAUUUCAAAGGAUAGUAGUAUACUGAAAAGUUGUGCGCUGUUUUGUUUAGGUUACACUUGAAUAUCAGUUGGAAUUUGGAAAUAUGCAUAAUAAUCAAUAAAAAUAUUCAAAUGAUCGUGAAUUUGCUAGAAACGAAUUGAAGAAGCUACGCAUGGAGUACUGCCGAGUACUUAGGCAUGAGUGACGAUAACCCCACUUUGAUCCACAACCAUAGCAAAACUCAAAACCACACCUACAAAAAUAAUCCAAUGAGCAGAAUAAUAAACAAAUUAAAAACAUGCAUAAUAUAAUGAUUUGAUGGCGAUGAAGGUGACUGACCUGCAACUUAUAUGCAUACAACCAACGAGUUUCUCAACGUAGAAGUUGCAACUAGGACACCUCCUCCACUGCUUCUUCUUAGCCAACUGAAUCAACAAUUUAUCAACAUUCUUCUUCUUUUCUUUCCGUUUGGCUAUGUUUAAUAUUCCAUUCAAAAUUACGCGACACUUCUUCUUAGUCUUACCAACUCUCUGAAACUCCUUGCACCCAAUCCCUUCGUGCCAUGUCACUUUACACUGAGCGCAAAACAGUCUGUGACAAGACGGACACUCCGUCAUCGUCACUUUAUCAUCACCACCCUCCACCACCAGCAUCGCCGAGCAGCUUUCGAACGGACAGUAGACUUUCCCCGACGACAUGAACAACGACUCGCACAAAGCUUUGUCCCAUCUCUCCAUCAAAUUCCUUGGAAUCAGAUCUCGACAUGUGUUUGGCUCUAUCAGGUGAGUGCAAUCCACGUCAGGACAAUUGAUUCCAGCUACGUUUUCUCCUAUCCUGGUCUCUACGUAACGGACCGUGCACUCGGUGCAAUAGAAGUGAGUGCAGUUACCUCGGAACAUGUCGGAAGGAGACUUCUCGUCCAUACAUAUCAUACAUAACAUGCUAGAUGGUUCUACGGGUUCGUUCCCUGCUUUUAUCUCCGGUUCUUCUUCCUCGUGCUUGAUACGCAAGGUAACAUGCCUUUGGGGUUGGGGAUGAUGGUUAAUCUCCUCCUCCAUCGAAGUGACCAAAGAAGAAACCAGAGCUUCUUGGAGAUGCAGAUUAUUGACAUAGUUUACGUCGCAGGGUGGGAAAACUCUGUUGUAAUCGUAUAAUUCAUCCUGGUCGUAGUAAUAAUCUACCAUCCUUGUGCGUGACGUUGAUGAUGAUGAUGAAGAGAAGCAGGUUCCCAUUAAAUCACUGUCUUUUGGUUUCUCCUCUUUUGUCUUGACUUUGAGUUAGGUCUACGAAUUUAGGUUUAAUACUAGCUUAUUUUAGAAGGUAUCUGCAAAAUUAGAUGAAUGGAAAUUUUCUUUCGAUUUUUGUAAUUGAUCUUUUUUUACACGAGCAUAUAUUUUUGCGUAUAACUGAAUAUGUUAACAUCUGCGUUUAAGAACUGUUUGGAAACAAUAAUAACAGUAUAAUUAUGAAUUGUUUGGAAACAUAGAUAUAACAAUAUAAAAAAAGAAGUAUAUUAUCCUUUUAGUAAUUUUCUUUAAAAAUAUACAAUCAAAUAAUUUUAUAUAUUGUUAGCAUCAAUGAUUUUUCAAAUGACCAUAUAUCUUAACAAAAUGGUUUUAAAAUAAAAAAUUAAUUAAAUUUACCUGUAAUUAAUUAUACAUAUAUAAAUUAAUACAAAUAAUAUGAUAUGAAAUAAGUGUAAAAUUAUUUUUAGCAUUUCAUAAAUAUUAAAACAUAUCAAUUUCCCUGUCCAAAUAUAAGUACUCCAUUUAUAUUAUAUAUAAUUACUAUUUUGAAACUGUAAAUAUUAAUGUACAUGAAUAAUAUAAAACUGACAUAAAAAUAAAUAAAACUUUAAAUAAUUAAUUAUUUAUUAAAUUACUAAUAAUUUUUUAUGUGCUAAAAAUAAAUUAAGUACAAAACAACAAUCAAUAAUGAUAAAAUAGUAUAUAAUAAGAAACAAGACAACUUUCAAUAUAAAUAAUAAUCCACCACUAAUACAACAAUUUUUAUGUUUUUAAAAGUUAAAACAAAUAUCUACACGGGUGUGCGGAUCAAAAUCUAGUUGCAUAUUAAAAGUUUACCUUUUCUUGUUUAUGAAGUUAUAUAACAUUUUCAUUAGUUAUGAAAAUAAUGUUGAUAUUACUGAUUUGGUUAAUGGUUCGUUAAUAUAUUAAAUAUAGAGAUUUUCAACAUUGUUGAAAUAAAGUAACUUUUUAUAAAACGAUUCAUCAAAUUAAAUUAUUUGUAUCUUUAUAAGACACAUAUAAAAUUAUUGGUUUUAUGGGUUGUAGUUAUUGUAAUAAUUCUCGUAGUGUAUUACUCCAUCUCUUUUUAAUGCUUGACUUUUACAAAAAAUUAAUUGUUCCAAAUUAGAUAAUGUUUUUAAGUUUCAAUGUAAAAUUAAUUUAUUUUUAUGUUAUAUAUUUGUUUAUUAUAUGUAAUUUAUUUUAUCAUUUGUUGGAUUGUGGUUAGAUAAACUAUUAGUGAUAUUUUUUACAAAAAUAUAUAAGAAAUUAAAAAUACUUCUUAAUCUAUAUAUGUGCAAUAAUAAACCGCCAACUAUUAAAAAAGAGGGAUAUAAAAUAAGAAUUCAGUAUCAAAAAUAUUCUCAUUAAUAAAUAUGGACGAAAGAUCAUAUAACUAAUGGGAUUGCACAUAUAAAAAAAGGACUAUCUGCAAAAUUGAUUCAAAACUCAAAAUCAAUUACAAAACUAAUAUAUGAUUUUUUGGAACUUUCAUUUGUUCUAUUCAACCCAAAAAUUUGGAUUAUUCACAAAAAUACCAAAUCCUUUGUGUUUAAUAGAUCCUCUGCUGUUAUAGUUGAUCUUGAAGAACAUGUAAGCUUAUUAUAUACUAUUAACGAGUGUUAGUAAGCUUAUUUCAUUUGAACAUUCAUUGGUUGUCAAUGUGGUCGUGGGAUCCUUAUCCUGAUCUUCGUGAUCUUAUCUUCAUUGAAGAUCCCCAAGUUAUCAGUUUCCCUUCAGGCGGUCGGAUUAUUGUGUCGAGUGGUGGUUCUAUUUUUCUUCAAAACCAUUCUCCUAUGUCUGCCCCAGAAGGUUGUGAAGUUAUGGUUCCGGUUGGAGGCGUAGCUGAAUUCCACAUCUCGGCCGAUGAUAUCGACACAUUACUACUCUGACUAUGUUUCGCAUCCUCUGAGGAUCAUACCUUCUUACUUUUGCAUAUUUUAAUAUCAUAAUCGUUUUCUUCAGACCUAUGUUUGUUUGAAGUCGGUUAAUAUUUUUACUUAGGCAUAUGUUUGUUUGAAGUCGGUUAAUAUUUUUACUUAGACCUUCAAAGUUUUAUUAUAUUAAGGAGAAAACAACCAUAAAAACUUUGAACUCAUGUUUGAACCAAAAAAAAUACUCCAACUUUCAAAUAUUGGUCAUUUUAACUUUUAUUUUUUUUGUUGACUAUGACAUUUUAAAAACCUAGAAAGUCAAUUGUUAAACCCGUAAACAUUUGUUAACUCACUAAACAACGUCGUUUUAAAAACUGAUUAAACAUUAAUGAAAUAGUGUCGUUUUAGAUCUGUAAGCAUUUAAAUCAUCUUCUCUUUCGCGAACCUAAAUUUUCUAAUUCUCUAAUCUUUCAAUCUUCCAAUCUCCAAAACCCAGAGCCAUUGACAAUGCAAAGGAUGUACUUUGGGUUCAUCGUAGUGAGAGAUCUUAAGUGGAAAGUGUUAGGAAAUCUAUGAUUGAACAACAAAAUCAUGUCGGUGAAGAAUGUGAUAAUGAAAAUGAUAGUGAGACUAAUGAGAAUGAUAAUGAGGCUGAGAAUAAUGGUAGUUGUGACGAAAAAGAUUUUUUAAGUAGUAUUUAAAAUGACGUCGUUUAUCAAGUUAACAGACGUUUACGGUUUAAUAGUUGACUUUUCAAGUUUCUAAAAUGGUCCAGUCAACAAAAAAUGAAAUUAAAAAUGGCCAACAUUUAAAAUUGGGGUAUAUUUUUGGCUCAAACAAAAGUUGAAGGGUUUUUCUGGCUUUGAUUUGAAAGUUCGGGAUUUUAUUGACAGUUUUCUCGUUUUAUGGGUUGUAGUUAUUGUAAUAAUUCUCGUAGCGUAUUACUCUAUCUGUUUUUAAUACCUGGCUUUUACAAAAAAAAAUCGUUUUUCCAAAUUAGAUAAUGUUUUUAAUUUUUACUGCAAAAUUAAUUUAAUUUUUAUGUUAUAUAAUUCUUUAUACUAUGUAGUUUAUUUUAUCAUUUGUUAAAUUGUGGUCAGAUAAACUAUUAGAGAUAUUUUUUAAAAAAUAUAUAAGAAAUUAAAAAACUUCUUAAUCUAUAUGUGUGCAAUAAUAAAACGCCAACUAUUACAAAAAAGAGGAAUAUAAAAUAAGAAUUCAGUAUCAAAAAUAUUCUCAUUAUACAAUAAAUGGGGUUGCACAUACGAGUAUUUGGGGAAAAAAAUCUGAAAUCACAAAUUCACAAUUGGUCUCCGUCUGUCUCUCGAGUCUCGACUUGCCUCUCCGCCUCGUCUCUCCAUCUCUCGAGCAGUGUCUCUCCGCCUCGUCUCUUCAUCUCUCGAGCAGUGUCUCUCCAUCUCGACUCUCCUCUCCGUCUCUCACUUUGUCUUCGAUUCGCUUCAGGUCGCUUCAUCUCGACUCUCCUCUCUUUGCGAUUUGAUUGCUUUUAGGUUGAUGGGUCAAUUUGAUUGCUUUUAGGUUGAUGGGUAUGCAUGUUAUGUUUAACUCUGUCCAUUGUUAAUGAUGAUUCUCGUUUGUUUGUAAGUUUAGUUUAUGUAAAUGUCUUUAAUCUCUUUUGUUCAGAUGGAUGGUGAUACGUUGAACCUUAAUGAUGAUGAUUAUUUGAGCGAUUCUAGAUUUGAUGGGUUUGCGAUUCUAGAUUCAACGUUUACUCAUGAUUUCUCUAUUGAACGUUUACUCAUGAGUUUGUGUAAAUGUGUUGUCUCAUUUGUCUCUAAUGGUUUUCUUUAAUCUUUUUUGUUCAGAUGGAUGAUGAAACUUUGAACCUAUAUGAUGAUGAUGAUGAUGAUGACUAUUUGAGUGGUAAUGAGAUGAUGGAUCAGAAUGAAGAUGGUUAUGAUUCUGUACAAGAUGAUUCUACAAGUGCGGCUGGGAAUAGAGGAAGGCGGAGACGUAACAAGCGGAGGCAUUCAAAGUGUUGGAAGCAUUUUGAAAUUGUAGGAGAUAAAUUGCCUGAUGGGACUACUAAAGUUAUUUGCAAGCAUUGUGAGUAUUCCUAUUUCAUAGAUCUAAGCAAUGGGACUAAUACUUUACUGCAUCAUAGUAGAGUUUGAUCAAAGAAUCCUGGAAGCACACCUAGAAGUAGGAAGUUUGAUAUAAUGGUCUUCCGUGAGAUGAUUGCUGGUGCUAUUGUUGAGCACGAUCUUGCAUACUCAUUUGUUGAGUUUAGAAGAAUUAGAGAAGCUUUUGAGUAUGCAAAUCCUAGUAUUGAGUUUUGGUGUAGAAACACUGUUGUGUCUGAUGUUCAUAAGAUAUAUGAGAAUGAGAAAGCUGGUCUUAGGAAGGUUUUGAGUGAAGUUCCUGGGAGGAUCUGUUUUACUACUGAUUUGUGGAGGGCAAUCACUGUGGAGGGGUAUUUACGUCUGACAGCUCAUUACGUUGAUAAUUGGAAGCUAAAGGCGAAGAUACUGUCAUUCUGCGCUUUUCCCCCACCUCAUACUGGUUAUAGUAUUGCUAUGAAGGUGAUGGAGUUAGUGAAAGAAUGGGGAUUAGAGAAGAAAGUGUUUACAGUGACUGUCGACAAUGCUUCUUCAAACGACAAUAUGCAAGGGGUUCUAAAGACACAACUUCGCAGAGCUUUGGUGUGUAAUGGCGAGUUUCUACAUGUAAGAUGCGCAGCACACGGGAAGGAACUCUUCUCAAUGGCUUUGACAAUCAUGAUUUUCCUGACAAAGGAAUUUCAAAGCUCUGCCUCGUCAAUGAACUUGACGACUCUCUGCUCCUUGUUGCGUCAUGUAAUAUUCACAACUCUUUCCACUGUUUGCAAAUUGAUUGAUUAUAGCUGCUGAGAAAUGGCAGUUAUGUCUUACACUAGCUUUUGAAAUUAUCUUUAGGUGAUGGGUCUGUCCGGAUAUGGAAAAACUAUGCAACAAAGGGUAAACAGAAGCUUGUAACGGGGUUUUCUUCAAUCCAGGGUCACAAGCCCGGUGCACGUGACUUGAACGCUGUUGUGGACUGGCAACAACAGUCUGGCUGUCUGGUGUGUGAUUGCUUAUUCUUUUUGUUUUCCAAGUUACCUUGGCCUUUUUAUUGUUAUUUAUGGAUUAAUGGUAUUUAACAGUAUGCUUCUGGGGAGGUGUCAACAGUCUCACUUUGGGACCUUGAGAAAGAACAACUUAUCAGAUCUAUUCCCUCUGAGUCAGAAUGCGGAGUUACAGCACUUGUAAGUCGACAUGAAUAGCCUUCUUCUUUAUAACAUAAAAACCACGCUAGAAUAUCGGGAUUUAUAUGAUCGAUUAAACGCUUUAGAAUGUCGUGAUUUGUAGUCGGCUUCUCAAGUGCACGGGAGUCAACUUGUUGCUGGUUUCGCUGAUGGAUCUUUGAGACUCUAUGAUGUUCGGUCGCCUGAACCGUAAGUUACUUUGUUCAUUUACAAAUUCACACAAGAGAACUCCAAUUAUAACGAAAAUUAGAACACCAAACUUUGUUUGGAUACAUCACCUAAUAUCAUUUUUUUUCAUAUUGAAGGCUUGUCCUUGCGACACGGCCUCAUCAGAAAGUUGAAAGAGUGGUUGGACUCAGUUUUCAGCCUGGACUUGAUCCCUCAAAGGUUUGAACUGUCAGGUGUUUUUCAAUUCUUUGUCGCUUUCCCGAGGCCAAUGUCUAUUCCUCUUUUUUUCCCAGGUGGUGAGUGCAUCACAGGCCGGUGACAUACAGUUCCUUGACCUUAGAACAUCAAGGGACACAUACCUGACGAUUGAUGCUCACAGGGGUUCACUCACAGCCUUAGCUGUUCACAGACACGCUCCAAUAAUCGCGAGCGGAUCUGCAAAACAGCUAAUUAAAGUGUUUAGCCUUGAAGGAGAACAACUAGGAAGAAUCCUCUACUACCCUUCCUUCAUGGGUCAGAAGAUUGGUUCAGUGAGUUGCCUCGCUUUUCAUCCCUACCAGGUUCUUCUUGCAGCUGGAACUGUGGACUCGCUCGUCUCCGUAUACACCCACGACAACUCGCAAGCACGAUGAGUCGCACACACCAUAAGUGGAAAAAAAACGUUUCUCUUGUGAUUAAAACAUGAGCAAAAAAAAACAAGUCUAGGCCGUGUUGGGGUAAAGUGGGUGUGGUUUAUAUUUAUUCGUUAAGCCUCCGUGGAAGUGUUAGAAAGAAGAUCGCAAGUUAACAGCUAAUGAAGGAGGAGGCUUCACCAAAUAAGUUACUAUGCAAUGCACAUAAAUUGUGUCUGUAAAUAGUUUCUCUGCUUUGCUGUUCUUUAUAAUUAUGUUUCCUUGUGUGAUUUUCUUUUAUUUUUCAUUAUUGGUUUCAUGUGUAAAAAAAUGGUUAAAGUAAUGGUGAAAACAAGUUUGCAUUUUCAUGAUAUUUAUUUCAAAGGAUAGUAGUAUACUGAAAAGUUGUGCGCUGUUUUGUUUAGGUUACACUUGAAUAUCAGUUGGAAUUUGGAAAUAUGCAUAAUAAUCAAUAAAAAUAUUCAAAUGAUCGUGAAUUUGCUAGAAACGAAUUGAAGAAGCUACGCAUGGAGUACUGCCGAGUACUUAGGCAUGAGUGACGAUAACCCCACUUUGAUCCAC